UCAUUGUAGGGUUAGUCGGGACCUAAGCCGAGUCCGAAAGGGGUAGGGGAUGGCAAAUUGGUUAAUAUUCCAAUACCUACCAUAGAGCGGGAUGGGGGGACGCAUAGGGCUAAAGGAGGUCACUGAUGGAAUAGUGGCUCGAAGGGUGUAGGUUGAGAUAUAGGCAAAUCCGUAUCUCUUUAUUCAAGACCCAACCGGCUUCCAAACUUUUUUGGAAGGGCGGGAGAAUCCUUGAAGCCGUCGUGCCAAGAAAAACCUUUAAGUUUAUUUAUGGUAGCCCGUACCGUAAACCGACCCAGGUGGGUGAGAUGAGUAUUUUAAGGGGGGUGGAAGAACCCCGGUUAAGGAACUUUGCAAAUUGACCCCGUAAGUUCGGGAGAAGGUGUGCCUUAUAGGUCAAACGGCUUGCCCGUGGAAACCUUACAAGGUUGCAACAAAGAGUCCCUCCCGACUGUUUAC
rnacentral:rRNA from 1 species